GAUGAACGCUGGCGGCGUGCCUAAUACAUGCAAGUCGAGCGAACAGAUAAGGAGCUUGCUCCUUUGAAGUUAGCGGCGGACGGGUGAGUAACACGUGGAUAACCUACCUAUAAGACUGGGAUAACUUCGGGAAACCGGAGCUAAUACCGGAUAACAUUUAGAACCGCAUGGUUCUAAAGUGAAAGAUGGUUUUGCUAUCACUUAUAGAUGGACCCGCGCCGUAUUAGCUAGUUGGUAAGGUAACGGCUUACCAAGGCGACGAUACGUAGCCGACCUGAGAGGGUGAUCGGCCACACUGGAACUGAGACACGGUCCAGACUCCUACGGGAGGCAGCAGUAGGGAAUCUUCCGCAAUGGGCGAAAGCCUGACGGAGCAACGCCGCGUGAGUGAUGAAGGGUUUCGGCUCGUAAAACUCUGUUAUUAGGGAAGAACAAAUGUGUAAGUAACUGUGCACGUCUUGACGGUACCUAAUCAGAAAGCCACGGCUAACUACGUG
rnacentral:rRNA from 1 species